AUUGUUUGUCAUUCGUCAAGCGUGUCUCAUCAAUAGGGUAAUAAAAUUGUAUUUCCAAAACAUAGGAUUACCAGUACUUUCUCCGGUUUCACAUCAUGACGACAAAAUGUGUUUUAUCCAUCACAACAUUUCUUUUUGCUAUUGCGUUUUGUGAAGGAUAUCCCUAUUACCCUUCAUAUGAAUAUUUGUCAGAACCUGGAAAUCCCGAGACCAAAGUAGUUAUGUUGGAUCCUCUCAUUGAAGCCCGUCAAAUGAUGCAAGCAGAGCCUACAGAUGGACAGGGGUUUUCUCGAGUCAAUCGCGGACCUUUUGGGGUAAACUCAAAUGGAUGAGGAUUAUUCAGUAGAGAAUUAACUAGUUAAUAUACGUGUGAAUAAUUUUUCAAAUCAGAUAAAUGUUAAAAUGAUUAAAACAAUUAAAAAGAAUUUGUCAAUGCAAAAUAUAUAUAUAUAUAUGAAGUACUGUU